UGAAACACGGACCAAGGAGUCUAACAUGUUCGCAAGUCAUUGGGUUGUAAAACCCAAAGGCAUAAUGAAAGUGAAGAUCAGUUCUGCUGGUCGAGGUGGGAUCUCUCUUCAAGGGAGCGCACCACCGUCCCAUCGCAUUUGCUCGUCAAAGCGGUGGAGAAAGAGCGUACAUGUUGGGACCCGAAAGAUGGUGAACUAUGCCUGAGCAGGAUGAAGCCAGAGGAAACUCUGGUGGAGGUCCGUAGCGGUUCUGACGUGCAAAUCGAUCGUCAGACUUGGGUAUAGGGGCGAAAGACUAAUCGAACCAUCUAGUAGCUGGUUCCCUCCGAAGUUUCCCUCAGGAUAGCUGGCACUUUUACGCAGUUUUACCCGGUAAAGCGAAUGAUUAGAGGCCUUGGGGACGAAACGACCUCAACCUAUUCUCAAACUUUAAAUGGGUAAGAAGUCUCGCUUGCCUGACCGAAGCUCAGACAUUGAAUGCGAGUGCCAAGUGGGCCAUUUUUGGUAAGCA
rnacentral:rRNA from 2 species